AUAAAAAUUGCAACAAUAAAAUCCUAACUCUAAUAGAAUACUAACUAAACUCUAAUUAGACCAUAAUAAUACUAAGCAAGCUUUAAUCAAAUUCAAAGAAACCUCAAAGAAAUUACAAAGAAAUACUAAUAAAUCUUAAAAAAAUAUUAGAAUGAUCACAAAUAUAUCUCAAAUAUAUCUCAAUUCAAUCUUAAAUUAAUCCUAGUUAAAAUCCUAUUGGACUUCAUUCAAACUUUAGGCCAAAAACUAACUAAAUCUUAAACAAACUCAAAUAAAAUCUUAAAUCCUAAAUCAAAUCCUGACUAAAUUCUAACCAAAUUUUAAAUCCUAAAUCCUAAACCAAAUCCUAAAUCCUAAAAUAAUCUCUAAAUUCUAAAUCAAAUCCUAACCAAUCCUAAAUCAAAUCCUAAUUCUAAAUCAAAUCC
rnacentral:lncRNA from 1 species